rnacentral:lncRNA from 1 species
GUCAGUUAACAAAUAUUUAGUGCACUGAGGUUGGCAUGUACAGUUGUGCAGGCUGUGCACUGUGCAAAUCUAGGAGACACUGCUCACCCUUCAUGCUCUUAGAUUUGUAUAUGGAUGAGGAGAUAAGUCAUCCAUCAGAUGUAAGUCAACUCCCUUAAGGAAAGGGCUUUUUUUUUUUUUUUUUUCAAUUUGCACUAAGCACCUUGGGCUGUGUUCUGAGUAAAUAGCUGUCACUAGCAGUCACUGUCUUCAUGGAGCUCACAGUCUAGUAAGAAGGGAAGGACAACGGUGACAGUAAAAGGAAAGGCAUAUGAGGGUGUUCUGGAGAAUCUGGUUGGAGGGAGUGGGGUGAGUGGGAACCAGCUAGGUGGCAGGGUAGGGCAGGGGAGGGGAGGGUCACAUCCUGUGAAAGGUCUGGAAGCAGUAGGCAGCAAGGACUUCUCUCUAAAGGAAGAUCCUUGCUGACUCACUUCCUGAGCCCCAGUGUGUUUCCUGAGCCUCAGCAAGUUUCCUGCCUCUUCAAAGGAGCACCGUGUACUUUCCCCUGAACAUCCCUGGGAGAAGAAGCUGUGUUCAUGCCUUGAUGGAAGGAGAGGGAGAACAUUCGGCUCGUUCUGUGGCAAUGACCUGCGUGAUGGAACAGGGCCAGUUGGUUCCAGAGAACCACAGCCCUGUGAAUCGUAAUGGCACUGUUACCUUCUCCUCCUGGUGGGAGAAAUGAAAUUAGCCAGGAAAGGCACGUCCUACAACAAAGAACACGAAGCCAGAGCUUCUGGAUCUAAAUGGGAGAGAUGGUGUCUGGACACUAACAGGAAACGCCACCAGCCAUAAAGAAACAGACCAUACGAUACCCAAAUACGUAAGUAACUCACUCUCUGUCCACUGUUCUAAAUCUUCAUCAG